rnacentral:rRNA from 1 species
AUUGAACGCUGGCGGCAGGCUUAACACAUGCAAGUCGAGCGGGGUGAUGGUGCUUGCACUAUCACUUAGCGGCGGACGGGUGAGUAAUGCUUAGGAAUCUGCCUAUUAGUGGGGGACAACAUCUCGAAAGGGAUGCUAAUAACGCAUACGUCCUACGGGAGAAAGCAGGGGAUCACUUGUGACCUUGCGCUAAUAGAUGAGCCUAAGUCGGAUUAGCUAGUUGGUGGGGUAAAGGCCUACCAAGGCGACGAUCUGUAGCGGGUAUGAGAGGAUGAUCCGCCACACUGGGACUGAGACACGGCCCAGACUCCUACGGGAGGCAGCAGUGGGGAAUAUUGGACAAUGGGGGGAACCCUGAUCCAGCCAUGCCGCGUGUGUGAAGAAGGCCUUAUGGUUGUAAAGCACUUUAAGCGAGGAGGGGGCUCUUUUGGUUAAUACCCAAGAUGAGUGGACGUUACUCGCAGAAUAAGCACCGGCUAACUCUGUGCCAGCCGCCGCGGUAA